rnacentral:rRNA from 1 species
GAUGAACGCUAGCGGGAGGCUUAACACAUGCAAGUCGAGGGGCAGCAUAGGGUAGCAAUACUCUGAUGGCGACCGGCAAACGGGUGGGUAACGCGUAUGCAACCUACCCUGUACAGGGGGAUAACCCGGAGAAAUUCGGACUAAUAUCCCGUAAUAAUAUCCGGAGGCAUCUUUGGAUAUUUAAAGUUCCGACGGUACGGGAUGGGCAUGCGUAACAUUAGCUGGUUGGUAAGGUAACGGCUUACCAAGGCUAUGAUGUUUAGGGGUCCUGAGAGGGUGGUCCCCCACACUGGUACUGAGACACGGACCAGACUCCUACGGGAGGCAGCGGUGAGGAAUAUUGGUCAAUGGGCGCAAGCCUGAACCAGCCAUCCCGCGUGCAGGAAGACGGCCCUAUGGGUUGUAAACUGCUUUUCCAGGGAGAGAAACUUACGCACGUGUUGCGUGACUGACGGUACCCUGGGAAUAAGCAUCGGCUAACUCCGUG